AAGCGAUCUCGCUCGCCUCCUCCACGCUUUUUCCCUUCCAUUCCUCCCUCCCCGCAGCCCCAAUAAAUAAUAAAAACCCAACCCCACGCCGAAUUCCUUAGUCCUCGAUUCGAUUUUCUCGCCAAUUCACGGGCCGCUAGUGCCGGGGGCGCGAUCGGCGGUGAGAUUCGUCGCCGGGCGGAAAUGGUUGCCGUGGCGGCCGAGGGCCCGAUCCGCGCCGACGCCGUGCCGGCGGCGGCCGGGGCCGGCGCGGAGAGGGCCGAUGCGGCGGCCGCGGGCGGGGCGGCGGCGGCCAAGGCCAGGGAGGACGAGGUCAGGGAGUACAAGAGUGACGUGAGGAAGCUGGAGGAGCUGUUCAAGAAGCUGAACCCCUCCGCGGAGGAGUUCGUGCCGCUCUCCCGCCGCCAGGGGGACGGCGCACGCCGCCUGUCGGCCGACGCGCCCGUCUUCGUCUCGCCCGCGAUCGACUACUAUGCGCCCCACCACCCGUUCCAGCAUCAGCAGAUGCACGUGCUGCAGGUGGUCGGUGGCGGGGGCGGAGCGGGUAGAGACUCCAGCAGCGACGGAUCCGCCAACGGCCAGCCGAAUCGACGGAGAAGGAAUGGCUUCAACCAGGGGAGACGUAGGAUGGGAGUUCGGCCAAGGCGAACUGAUAGGGAGGAUAGUGUACGGCGAACUGUCUAUGUCUCAGACAUUGAUCAACAUGUCACUGAACAGAAGCUUGCUGAGGUUUUCUCAAACUGUGGUCAAGUGGUAGAUUGCCGUAUCUGUGGUGAUCCAAACUCAGUGAUGCGUUUUGCUUUUAUCGAGUUCGCCGAUGAUGUCGGUGCAAGAGCAGCUCUAACGCUUGGUGGAACCAUUCUUGGUUUUUAUCCUGUCAGAGUUCUGCCAUCUAAGACUGCAAUUUUGCCUGUGAACCCCAAAUUUCUUCCUCGAACAGAGGACGAGAAAGAAAUGGUAUCCAGGACUGUGUACUGUACUAACAUUGACAAAAAUGUUCCAGAGGAUGUUGUGAAGAAUUUCUUUGAGGGAAUUUGUGGGGAGGUUGCUCGACUGAGGCUGCUUGGUGAUUACGUGCAUGCCACGUGCAUUGCCUUUGUUGAGUUUGUUCAGGCAGAAGGAGCAAUUUUGGCCCUGAACUGCAGUGGCAUGCUUCUUGGCUCGCUUCCUGUCAGGGUGAGCCCAUCCAAGACCCCAGUCCGCCCCCGUUCGCCUCGUGCGAUGUCGCACUGAAUCUGUCUCUCGUCUGAAGCCGGCGUCCAGGGCAGCAAUUCCGGGCAACAAACCCCUAGUCGUGGCCUUAGAGACUGUUGCGUCGCGGAUCAGUAACUGUCGUUGAAGAGAGUGAGUGUUACCGUUUUGGUUAUCUAGGCUAGAAGAAGGCCCUUCCUUGCUGAUCAGAUGAGAGACCCAUCUGUAUGUUCUUCGCUGGGAGCUCUAUUUUCACUUCUUUUCUUUUUGCUAUAUCCUUAUUAAUCCGUUUGUUAAUUAUGGAUGGAUGCUGUAGCUGCCUUCGACAGGCACUGGAACAAUAAUGUCUAUGGCUUGUCCUAUUUCGACUUGAUUCUCACUGAUGUUGAUGUGCGUGUCGCAUAAGAUUGCUGCACUAUGCAUGCUAUGCAGGGUAUCUUU
rnacentral:rRNA from 1 species